rnacentral:rRNA from 1 species
GACGAACGCUGGCGGCGUGCCUAACACAUGCAAGUCGAACGGGAUCGGGGGCAACUCCGGUUCAGUGGCGAACGGGUGCGUAACACGUGAAGAAUUUGUCCAACGGCGGGGGAUAGCCGGCCCAACGGCCGGGUAAUACCGCGUACGACCUUUGAGGGGCAUCCCUCGAUGGUGAAAGCCGCAAGGCGCCGAUGGAGAACUUCGCGGCCUAUCAGCUAGUUGGUGAGGUAAUGGCUCACCAAGGCGACGACGGGUAGCUGGUCCGAGAGGAUGACCAGCCACAUUGGGACUGAGACACGGCCCAGACUCCUACGGGAGGCAGCAGUGGGGAAUAUUGCGCAAUGGGCGAAAGCCUGACGCAGCGACGCCGCGUGUGGGAUGACGGCCUCGGUU